AGAGGGGAGAGCCCUAGAGUGAGAAUUCAGGGGCCCAAGGUGUGUGACCUCCACCACCAACCAGCUGUGACUGUUGAGUGUUGAGCGGGGAGUAUUACUUGAUUCCCCAGGGCCUCAGCUUUCUGCUCUGUGAAAGGGAGACGGUGAUCUUGCCUGGUCAGCCUGAGAGCUUGUGGGUAGUGAUAAAUGACCAUGGGUGUGGUCACAUUUUUGCAAAGUGUAAAAAGCUACACCCUGGAAUUUAUUCUCCUGAAUCUUUCUCUACAGGACCUGGAACAUGGCAGACAGUCAGUAAGUGCUGGGUCACCUUCAGGCCACCCUGGACCAUCCAGCUCUAGCUAAGCCAUCAGCUGACUACAACUACAUGAAUGAACCCAGGAGAUAAGAGCAGAAGAAUCACCUAGCUGAGCCCAGCCAAACUGCAGCAUAUAGUAUCAUGAGCUAAUAAACAAUUCCUGCUUUAAGCCCUAA
rnacentral:lncRNA from 10 species